rnacentral:rRNA from 1 species
GACGAACGCUGGCGGCGUGCCUAAUACAUGCAAGUCGAGCGGACCAAACAGGAGCUUGCUCUUGUUUGGUUAGCGGCGGACGGGUGAGUAGCACGUGGGUAACCUGCCCGUAAGACCGGGAUAACUCCGGGAAACCGGAGCUAAUACCGGAUAACACCGAAGACCGCAUGGUCUUUGGUUGAAAGGCGGCUUCGGCUGCCACUUACGGAUGGGCCCGCGGCGCAUUAGCUAGUUGGUGAGGUAACGGCUCACCAAGGCGACGAUGCGUAGCCGGCCUGAGAGGGUGACCGGCCACACUGGGACUGAGACACGGCCCAGACUCCUACGGGAGGCAGCAGUAGGGAAUCUUCCGCAAUGGACGAAAGUCUGACGGAGCGACGCCGCGUGAGCGAAGAAGGUCUUCGGAUCGUAAAGCUCUGUUGUUAGGGAAGAAGAAGCGCCGUUCGAACAGGGCGGCGCGGUGACGGUACCUAACGAGAAAGCCCCGGCUAACUACGUG